rnacentral:rRNA from 1 species
UACGUAGGGUGCAAGCGUUGUCCGGAAUUAUUGGGCGUAAAGAGCUCGUAGGCGGUCUGUCGCGUCUGGUGUGAAAAUCCAGGGCUUAACUCUGGACUGGCUUCCGAUACGGGCAGACUAGAGGUAUGCAGGGGAGAACGGAAUUCCUGGUGUAGCGGUGAAAUGCGCAGAUAUCAGGAGGAACACCGGUGGCGAAGGCGGUUCUCUGGGCAUUACCUGACGCUGAGGAGCGAAAGUGUGGGGAGCGAACAGG